GGAAUUGACGGGGAGCACCACAACGGGUGGAGCCUGCGGUUUAAUGGAUUCAACGCCGGAAAUCUUACCGGGACCGACAGCAAUAUGAAGGCCAGGCUGAAGACUUUGCCGGAUUAGCUGAGAGGUGGUGCAUGGCCGUCGUCAGUUCGUACUGUGAAGCAUCCUGUUAAGUCAGGCAACGAGCGAGACCCACGCCCACAGUUGCCAGCGUACUCUCUGGAGUGACGGGUACACUGUGGGGACCGCCGUUGCUAAAGCGGAGGAAGGAAUGGGCAACGGUAGGUCAGUAUGCCCCGAAUAUCCCGGGCUACACGCGAGCUACAAUGGUUGGUACAAUGGGUAUCUACCCCGAAAGGGGACGGGAAUCUCCUAAAACCAAUCUUAGUUCGGAUUGAGGGCUGCAACUCGCCCUCAUGAAGCUGGAAUCCGUAGUAAUCGCGUUUCAACAGAACGCGGUGAAUACGUCCCUGCUCCUU
rnacentral:rRNA from 1 species